AUUUCUCUGUUGUAGCCCCGGAUGAUCCAGAACUCUCUCUGUAGACCGGGCUGGCCUUGAACUCAGAGAUCUGCCUGCCUCUCUGCUUGGAUUAAAGGUGUGCACCACCACCACCUGGACCAAGAGGAUUCUCUUUGAUCUUGUGAACUACUGCCAAGGCAAGAAUUCCUGCCACCGAAGCAUGGAGUGACAUUCACCAUGACAGUGACGAGACUUGAACAAGCUGCAAAGCUCUUUUCAAACUAAUGAUAAACGCAUGUGUAAGCAGGAGGCUGGAAGGGCUGCAUGGCAAGAGUUCUUCAGAACUUGAAAGGUCUUCCAGCACAGCCUUCAUUGCCAGCUACCAUGUGGUGUGUGAAUGGAAAGCUCCCUUGAGAUGCCUGUGACAGGAGGCUGCCCAUACACGCUCUCAUGAGCACCCUGCGAGUGACCACAGUCCCCAAACGUGGACUGUGGUGAUUUGAAUACAGAGGCUCACAUAUUUGAAUGCUUGGUCAUCAAGUUGUGACACUACUCCUGAAGGAUUCGGAAGUGUAGCCUUAUUGGAGUAGGGCCUGCGGGACAAGGCAGAACAGAAACCUCCUGUCUACAAUCUCUUCCUGCUGCCUGC